rnacentral:tRNA from 1 species
GACAACAGCUCAGCGGUUGAACAAUCGCUUCACAGGCGAUAGGUGGGUGGUUCAAUCCCACCAGGGCGUCG